AAAAAGUGGGAGUUGUAAGUGUGACGUUGUACUCUAUAUGAUUUUAAGAAAGUAUGCUGAUGAGUGUGAAUAUAAUGUAACUAAAAUAUGCUUCAUGCAAAAGGUCUCUUGCAAGGUAUCAUUACAAAGCUUAUAAUCUACUGAGCAUGGUCAUCAUAUUUGUAUAAAUGGAUCACUCUUGUAUCUGAAACUAGAAAUAUGAAAUAUAA